rnacentral:SRP_RNA from 1 species
CCAUGCUAGAUGGGGACGUAGCGGAGCCCUUUUCCUGAAAUCCGCUGUAUCGGGAUCGAUGUUCUUUUGAGGUGUCUCGUUCUUCAGGCGCUUCGCGGUGUACGCGACGGUGAAGGUCAGGCCCCUUGCAAUGAAGUGGUUGCUAACCGGGUCAGGGGCGAGAGCCAGCAGCCCUAACAAUUUACUUCAUGUGCCGAGGGAUCACCGGGCUGGAGUUGGCUGCUGUCGAAUCCUGCGGGGCAGGCAUCGAAAAAGGAUGCAUGG